rnacentral:rRNA from 1 species
CAGGCCUAACACAUGCAAGUCGAACGCACUCUUCGGAGUGAGUGGCAGACGGGUGAGUAACACGUGGGAACGUGCCCUUCGGUUCGGAAUAACUCAGGGAAACUUGAGCUAAUACCGGAUACGCCCCUCGGGGGAAAGGUUUACUGCCGAGGGAUCGGCCCGCGUCUGAUUAGCUAGUUGGUGGGGUAAUGGCCUACCAAGGCGACGAUCAGUAGCUGGUCUGAGAGGAUGAUCAGCCACACUGGGACUGAGACACGGCCCAGACUCCUACGGGAGGCAGCAGUGGGGAAUAUUGGACAAUGGGCGCAAGCCUGAUCCAGCCAUGCCGCGUGAGUGAUGAAGGCCUUAGGGUUGUAAAGCUCUUUCGACGGGGACGAUAAUGACGGUACCCGUAGAAGAAGCCCCGGCUAACUUCGUGCCAGCAGCCGCGGUAAU